rnacentral:tRNA from 1 species
GGGGCCAUAGCUCAGUUGGGAGAGCGCAUGACUGGCAGUCAUGAGGUCAGGGGUUCGACCCCCCUUGGCUCCACCA